AGGCGGAGACUUGGGCAAUUGCCGGGCAUCCCAGAGGGCAUUGCACUUGUCUCGGUCUGA
ensembl:miRNA mir25 microRNA 25